AGAACUUAGCAGAGAUGCUUUGGUGCCUUCGGGAACUCUGAGACAGGUGCUGCAUGGCUGUCGUCAGCUCGUGUUGUGAAAUGUUGGGUUAAGUCCCGCAACGAGCGCAACCCUUAUCCUUUGUUGCCAGCGGCUCGGCCGGGAACUCAAAGGAGACUGCCGGUGAUAAACCGGAGGAAGGUGGGGAUGACGUCAAGUCAUCAUGGCCCUUACGGCCAGGGCUACACACGUGCUACAAUGGCGCAUACAAAGAGAAGCGACCUCGCGAGAGCAAGCGGACCUCACAAAGUGCGUCGUAGUCCGGAUUGGAGUCUGCAACUCGACUCCAUGAAGUCGGAAUCGCUAGUAAUCGUAGAUCAGAAUGCUACGGUGAAUACGUUCCCGGGCCUUGUGCACACCGCCCGUCACACCAUGGGAGUGGGUUGCAAAAGAAGUAGGUAGCUUAACCUUCGGGAGGGCGCUUACCACUUUGUGAUUCAUGACUGGGGUGAAGUCGUAACAAGGUAGGCGUAGCGAG
rnacentral:rRNA from 1 species